rnacentral:rRNA from 1 species
AUGGCCGCCGCUGCGGCGGGCAAGCGGCCCAGCUGCGCCGUCGUGCUCGGCUUGCUGCUGGCGGCCGCGUCGGCCGCCGGCGCCGAGUUCAUCACGUGGGAGGACCUGACCAUGCCGGCCGUGGCGGGGCUCAUCCGCGGCGCGCCGGUGGACGUCAAGUCGGCGGCGGCGGGCCGCGGGGGCGUGGGCGUGAGCACGAUCGUGGUGUCGCAGGACGGGACGGGGCACUCGCGGACCGUGCAGGGCGCCGUCGACAUGGUGCCCGCCGGGAACACGCGGCGGGUCAAGAUCCUCGUCAGGCCCGGGGUGUACAGGGAGAAGGUGACGGUGCCGAUCACGAAGCCGUUCGUGUCGCUGAUCGGCAUGGGGACCGGGCGCACGGUGAUCACUUGGAACGCGCGGGCGUCGGACAUCGACCGGUCGGGGCACCAGGUCGGCACCUUCUACUCCGCCUCCUUCGCCGUCGAGGCCGACUACUUCUGCGCAAGCCACAUCACCUUCGAGAACUCGGCCCCGGCCGCGCCGCCGGGAGCGGUGGGGAUGCAGGCGGUGGCGCUGCGGCUGUCCGGCGACAAGACCAUGCUGUACAGGUGCAGGAUACUGGGGACCCAGGAUACGCUGUUCGACAACAUCGGGAGGCACUACUUGUACAACUGCGACAUCCAGGGCUCCAUUGAUUUCAUUUUCGGGAACGCGAGGUCACUGUACCAGGGCUGCGCGCUGCACGCGGUGGCGACGAGCUACGGCGCGAUCGCGGCGUCGCAGCGGAGCUCGGCGUCGGAUGAGUCGGGGUUCUCGUUCGUGGGGUGCCGGCUGACCGGCUCCGGCAUGCUGUACCUGGGCAGGGCCUGGGGCAGGUACGCCCGGGUGGUGUACGCCUUCUGCGACCUCGGCGGCAUCGUCGUGCCCCAGGGCUGGAGCGACUGGGGCGACCGCGCCAGGACCAAGACGGUGAUGUUCGGGGAGUACAAGUGCAAGGGGCCCGGGGCGAGCUCGCGGCAGCGGGUGCCGUGGUCGCGGGCGCUCACCUACGAGGAGGCGCGCCCCUUCCUCGGCCGGGACUACAUCAACGGCGAGCAGUGGCUCCGGUUGUAG